UACGGAGGGUGCUAGCGUUGUUCGGAAUCACUGGGCGUAAAGCGCGUGUAGGCGGCCCAUUAAGUCUGAUGUGAAAGCCCGGGGCUCACCCCCGGAAGUGCAUUGGAAACUGAUGGGCUCGAGUCCCGGAGAGGAGGGUGGAAUUCCUGGUGUAGCGGUGAAAUGCGUAGAUAUCAGGAGGAACACCGGUGGCGAAGGCGGCCCUCUGGACGGUGACUGACGCUGAGACGCGAAAGCGUGGGGAGCAAACAGG
rnacentral:rRNA from 1 species